GCCCAAAAGAAAAAAUGAUCUCCCUUUUGGAGUUUCAGCCGUGACUUCAAGAGGAAGCUUUAGCCGUGACAAGGCAAGAACUCCACUACACUCACUCUCUUGAUUCAAGCUGCACCUAUUCAACCAAAUACGGAGCCAAACUCCACCUUUCAAGAGGAUGCUUCGAAACGACGACAUCCGCGUCGUCUCCUCUGCCAUCAAAAUCCCUCUUCCUUCCAAGCGCCCAACCUGUCCUCUGCGAACGGCGCAUUCCCACAUCGCCAACGCCACAAACUCGUUUGCGCAAUUCGUUAAUUCGUUCGCGUCUCACUCCACCGAGUUUACUCGCUCCAUCCUCCAAAAAUCGUCGCUCCUCUGCUCCACGACUCUGUCCUUGACCGGCGACAGGAAGAGAGCAUGUCCGAUUCGGCGUCUUGCUUCGCUGUCUCUGGCGGAGGAGGCGCAGCAGAAGGCUCGACAGAACGAGGAGAGAGUGUUGAUCAGUGAAGUGCUGGUUCGAAACAAAGACGGGGAGGAAAUGGAGAGGAAGGACCUCGAGGCGGAGGCGGUGCAGGCUCUGAAGGCUUGUCGACCUAACUCGGCUCUCACAGUGCGCGAGGUACAAGAGGAUGUGCAUCGCAUCAUCAACAGUGGAUAUUUUUCGUCAUGCAUGCCGGUUGCGGUUGACACGAGAGAUGGUAUCCGAUUAGUAUUUCAGGUAGAACCAAAUCAAGAAUUCCAAGGGCUGGUAUGUGAAGGAGCCAAUGUUCUUCCGGCUAAAUUUCUAGAGGACUCAAUGCGAAAUGGAUAUGGGAAGAUUAUUAAUUUGAGACGACUGGAUGAAGCAAUAUCUUCCAUUAAUAACUGGUACAUGGAGCGUGGUCUUUUUGCCAUGGUUUCGGCUGUGGAGAUUCUGUCUGGAGGUAUUCUUAGAUUACAAGUUUCAGAGGCUGAGGUCAAUAAUAUUUCCAUACGGUUUCUUGACAGGAAGACAGGUGAGAUUACUGUGGGAAAGACUAAGCCAGAAACAAUACUUAGGCAAAUAACAACAAAGAAGGGACAGGUCUACAGCAUGCUUGAGGGUAAAAGAGAUGUAGAAACUGUAUUAACUAUGGGAAUCAUGGAAGAUGUUAGCAUUAUUCCCCAACCAGCUGAUACAGGGAAGGUUGAUUUGGUGAUGAAUGUGGUGGAACGUCCAAGUGGAGGAUUUUCUGCUGGUGGUGGGAUAUCAAGUGGGAUUACAAAUGGUCCACUAAGAGGGCUUAUUGGAAGCUUUGCUUAUUCUCAUCGGAAUGUUUUUGGUAAAAACCAGAAGCUCAAUAUUUCUUUAGAGAGGGGCCAGGUUGACUCGGUCUAUCGAAUAAACUACACAGACCCUUGGAUUCAAGGAGAUGAUAAACGAACAUCUAGAACAAUAAUGAUUCAGAAUUCAAGAACUCCCGGAACCAUUGUUCAUGGUAAUGCGGAUGGUAACGGUAGCCUGACCAUUGGCCGCAUCACAGGUGGUAUAGAGUUUAGUCGCCCAAUCAGGCCAAAGUGGAGUGGAACAGUGGGACUUGUUUUUCAGCAUGCUGGAGUCCGUGAUGAGAAAGGUAUUCCUAUCAUUAAGGAUUGCUUCAGCAGUCCUCUUACUGCAAGUGGCAAUACUCAUGAUGAGACCUUGCUUGCUAAACUUGAGACUGUUUACACUGGUUCUGGCGACCAUGGCUCUUCUAUGUUUGUCCUUAACAUGGAAAAGGGACUUCCUCUUUUGCCUGAAUGGCUGUCCUUCACUAGGGUGAAUGCACGUGCUAGGAAAGGUGUUGAGAUUGGUCCUGCACGCCUUCAUUUAAGUAUCUCUGGUGGUCAUGUGGUGGGAAAUUUUCCUCCCUAUGAAGCUUUUGCCAUUGGUGGAACAAACAGUGUGAGGGGCUAUGAAGAAGGAAGCGUGGGCUCUGGUCGAUCAUAUGUUGUUGGCUCUGGAGAAAUUUCUUUCCCCAUGUACGGGCCAGUGGAAGGUGUUAUAUUUUCUGACUAUGGAACUGACCUUGGUUCAGGCCCAACUGUACCCGGUGACCCUGCUGGAGCAAGGAAGAAACCUGGCAGCGGAUACGGCUAUGGGUUUGGCAUCCGUGUGGAAUCGCCUUUGGGUCCUUUGCGCCUUGAAUAUGCCUUUAACGAUAAGAAAGACAGAAGGUUUCACUUUGGAGUUGGGCACAGAAAUUAAAUAUCGGGAGACAAUUCUUACCAGCUGCUUCUUGGUCGUUGUAUAUAAUCCCUCCCUCCAUCCUUUUGUAGGGAUGUGUAUACCAGUUAGAAGGGAAUUGCUCUCUCUCUCCUGUGGAUUUUUCACAUGAUAGGGACAGAAGGACACUAAGGAAACUACGACCCACUGAUUUUAAUACAGCUCCUAUGAGUAUGUUCCAUGUUUUUUGCAUUGUCUAUAUCUUCACUCUUCUGUCAUUCGAAAAUCUUAAUAUUAUAUAUACUUGUAUUGUGGUAAAA